rnacentral:rRNA from 1 species
GACGAACGCUGGCGGCGUGCUUAACACAUGCAAGUCGAACGGAAAGGCCCUGCUUUUGUGGGGUGCUCGAGUGGCGAACGGGUGAGUAACACGUGAGUAACCUGCCCUUGACUUUGGGAUAACUUCAGUAAACUGGGGCUAAUACCGGAUAGGAGCUCCUGCUGCAUGGUGGGGGUUGGAAAGUUUCGGCGGUUGGGGAUGGACUCGCGGCUUAUCAGCUUGUUGGUGGGGUAGUGGCUUACCAAGGCUUUGACGGGUAGCCGGCCUGAGAGGGUGACCGGCCACAUUGGGACUGAGAUACGGCACAGACUCCUACGGGAGGCAGCAGUGGGGAAUAUUGCACAAUGGGCGGAAGCCUGAUGCAGCAACGCCGCGUGCGGGAUGACGGCCUUCGGGUUGUAAACCGCUUUCGCCUGUGACGAAGCGUGAGUGACGGUAAUGGGUAAAGAAGCACCGGCUAACUACGUG